CUUAGUUUUUCUUUGGCCCUUUUCUCUCGGUGACAAAUCGUUUUGCUUCUUUCAAACUGAAUCGUCUCUUUUAUGCGGACUUUAGGGAGGAAAUUGCUAUUUAGGCCAUAAAACCGAACGACUUCACUUAAAUGGCCUCUAAACCAUGGGCCUCUCUAAAAAGAUCUGGUAUCCGACGUCCCUCCUCCCAAAUGGCCUUUUCGAAUUUCUUUAACUCCAAAAAAAAAAUAUUAUCAACCGGUCGACAACAAUUAGGACCGAACUACCCCCAUGCAAAAUUCAUGUUUCAAUUCUUUCUCUCACUUGUUCGACAUCUCUCGCGUUCGUUCUAUCUAACUCUCUCGUGGAGGCGCCGACGCCGGCGUUCAUGGCCAGCGUGCCCCCGGCAGCAC
rnacentral:lncRNA from 1 species